CGCCCAGUAAUCUCUACUCCAACCAAAGUCCUUGGUCAGAGUUUCUGCAUAUCCUUCGAGCAUCCAUCCAUGGCGACUUCUCUGUCUACCACACUUUCGACCAAUAAUCUCUACUCCAACAGGAGCACCAACCCGACUUCAACACAUCUGCUUCCUGGCCUAUCACCCAAUCGCACUCUCAUACUUUCUACGAUUCCCAAACACCUCAAGUAUACAACCAGUUUCUCACCACGGCAAACCCUCUUGAUCAUGACUUCUGCAGGGUUGUCCUGCGGAUAAAUUAUGACAUCUGCGGAUGUCAACUGGUACCGAAACUUCAGUGGCAGGGGAAGAUACCGCAAGUGUUCUGCUGAAGGUGAAAGUGUUGGAUUUGAAUGGAAAUGCGAUCCCGAUUUCUGAUUUGCGGAAAGACAGGAAAGCUGUCGUGGCAUUCGCUCGCCAUUUCGGUGUGUCUUUUGCCGCAAACGAGCUGAUUACCUUACCACCAAGAAGCAAGGUGGAAUUAUAGUUGCAAGUCCUGUCAAAACUAACAUCUCAUUCAUUCACAAGGUAAUUAAGUUCCUCAACACAGCAUGUCCCUUUUCUCUUUUGUCCUCAUGCCCAGAACACGGUUAAUCAUCAAUAUGACCAUUGUUAUAUAUUUGUUAUUCACCAACAGUUUCAUUUUUUUUCCUAACGCAUGGACCAAUUAACGUGUAUAUUUUUACACUUUAUAACCUUAUAUGAAUAUAUUUUCUUAUGCAA